rnacentral:ncRNA from 2 species
UGAUCCGCGGCGGGAGAGUCCUGCCGGUACAUCCCGUCAGGCGCCGUAGGAGCAAACCCUCCCCAGGAAUCUCUCAGGCACCCUGUACCGCCGCGGCGAG